AUCCUUUCAUAGUUCAUAAGCGUAAUGAUUAGGUGUUCUCGCUCUUGUGUGCGAUGUGCCUCCAUCAACCCUUUAACAACUUCAGCCUAUCAACCAUCUAACG
ensembl:snoRNA small nucleolar RNA U13